CCUAAUUUUGCUAAACCCAUUCCCUUCCAUCCUUCCUCCACGCUGCGCAGCCCAACCCCUUUCCUCACUGCCUUUGCUGCGCAGCAGCAACAACAACGACACACACAGUUUCCUUUCAUGAAAGGGAGAAACUAAA